AAACUUUCCUUUUGUAUACUUCUAAUGCCCUAGAUUUUUUCUUGUCUCCUUAAUAGCCGUACUACUUAUCCUUUCAACUCCAAGUAUGGCAGCAGCUCUUCUCGGUACAUAUUUAUUCAUCUUUGCUUCCAUCUCUGCAACCUUUGCUUAUGAUCCUGACACGCUUCAAGAUCUAUGCGUGGCCGAUAAAUCUUCAGGUGUUAAAGUGAAUGGGUUUCCGUGCAAGGCUGAGGCAAAUAUUUCAGAAGCUGAUUUCUUCUUUGACGGUAUAGCUAAGCCAGGUGUUGUCAACAGUUCAGUGGGAUCUCUUGUUACACUCGCCAAUGUUGAGAAAAUUCCGGGCUUGAACACUCUAGGGGUGUCGCUGGCCCGCAUUGACUAUGCUCCUGAUGGUCUGAACCCACCGCACACCCACCCACGCGCAACUGAAGUUAUCUUUGUGCUCGAAGGGGAAUUGGACGUAGGAAUCCUCACCACCGCCAACAAGCUGAUCUCGAAAACUGUAAAGAAAGGAGAAAUCUUUGUAUUCCCAAGAAGUCUGG
rnacentral:misc_RNA from 1 species